UACGAAGGUGGCAAGCGUUACUCGGAAUCACUGGGCGUAAAGCGUGCGUAGGCGGUUCGGUUAAGUCUGCUGUGAAAGCCCUGGGCUCAACCUGGGAAUUGCAUUGGAUACUGGCAGGCUAGGGUGCGGUGAGAGGGUAGUGGAAUUCCCGGUGUAGCAGUGAAAUGACGUAGAGAUCGGAAAGAACACCAACGGCGAAAGCACUCUCGCUGGGCCGACACUGACACUGAGAGACGAAAGCUAGGGGGAGCGAAAUGGG
rnacentral:rRNA from 1 species